rnacentral:rRNA from 1 species
UGGUGGUGCGAGCUGUCUGGUUGAUUCCGUUAACGAACGAGACCUUUGUCAGAUAAUAGAAGGGCCGAGAUAUUGCGUCAAGGCAGUAGCGGACGUAUGUGGUCAUCCUUCGGGACCCAUUUACGCAUCGGCUGCUGUUGCUUUUCUAGGUCAAAUCUUCUUUCUGAGACUAAUGCGGAAAACGCAUUGGAAGUUGGAGGCAAAAACA